GUAUAUUACAUAUACAAAUAUAUAUAUGUGUGUACAUACAUAUAAUAUAUAUGAUGUAACAACAAUGUAAAAGGAGCCCAUGAAUUUGAAAGAGACCAGAGAGAGUCACAUGGGAGGUUAGGAGGGAGGAAAGGGAAGGGAUAAAUGAUGUAAUAUAUACUAAUCUUAGAACAUAAAAGAAAUAAUUUAACAAAACCAAGAACAACUAAAGAGAAGAAGGGCUUAUCUUGGCUCACAGUUUGAGGGUGGAGUCCCUCAUGGUGGAGAAGAUGUGAUAGCAGGGCCAUGAAGCAGCUAGUCAUAUUGUGUGAGCAGUUAGAAGAGGGCAGAGCUUCAUCCCAUGAAAGGGUACUGCCUACAGUUAUGGUGACUCCCACAUCAACGAACCCAGUCCAGAAACUCCCUCACAGACAUGCCUCAAAUUUUUGUCUUUUUAGGUGACUCUAAGUCCUGGGAAGUUUGCAAUCAAGUAUUAACCAUCCCUCCAUGCUGUCCUGAAACAGAAAACAGUAGAUAGGAUUUAACAUGACUGUUAGAUUCUAACCAAAGACUCCCCAGAUAGAGGUCACUUAGAGUCAGAUUGUUUUAAAACUAAACCAUGGUUAUAAAUGAGAGCUAAUGUAACGUGGACUCAUUGUGUGUUCUUAAAAAGUGGAGUAAUUUAAUGAAUCAUUUAGAAGAACCUUGGCAGGGUGAGCAAGUUGAACUGAAGGAAGCAAAAACAGCAGCAAUAGAAGUUAAAAAGACUUCAAUAUUGCAAAACCAAGGAGCUUUCUCUUUCUUGUCUGAAAGCUGAGCCAUACAGAAUAUUUUUUCUAACCCCUUCAUCAUAGCAUCCUGAGGUUAUCCAUAAGAUACCCAUCCACACUGGCUUUGGGCCAGAAGGAAUCUGUGCCUUUAAGUUGCCUUCCCAUCUCCCUUAGAGCUCUCUUCACUUGGACAAAAUGACAUCAACCCCUUUGCCUCUGAAUAGACUUGAGAUCGUCACCUACUCCCAGAGGACUUGUGUUCCCAAAGGCAGUCCAUGUUCACACAGCUGGGUCUGCAGUCCAUGAAAUGGCUGGGUGGCCUCCUGCCCUCAGGAUGUGAUUCUCUGAGGGCAUCUUCAUGACUUUGCUUCUUCCCUCUCCCAUGCUCCUCAACUAGCUGGAAGGGAGAACCAGAUCUGUGAAACAGGAAUAGCCUGAGACAUAGGAGAGUCUGGGCACCUGGGGGUGUUACACCAUUGUCUGGGAUAGGGAUCAGCUGCUGACCUUGGGGGGGGGAGGAACAGAGGAGGGGCUAUCAGGACCAAAUGUCCCUCCAGGACUGGAAACCCUUGUUACCCUUAAGAACACUUUCUUCAUCAUGUAAGGCUUUCUUGGGAAUCCCUGGGUUUCUGAAAGCUGGCUGACUAAGCUCUGUGUCUGAAACUUCACAGCUCAUCUUUCAUCAUGGCCAACAGUAAAAUCAUCAGUUAAGUUGUGGUCUCUGGGUACUUAGUUCCUUGGGCCAUUAGCCAAUCAAUAGGUUACAGGCUUUCAGUAGUUCCUAUGCGGAUUGGUGGAGCUUUACAAGCCAUUACCAGACAUUUGCAGACUAUUUGCAAUGUAAGAGCCUGGUGAUGGAAGUGGGGGGCACAACUAUCUAAAGGUAAGUACAGUAAAUGGAAUCUUGGCCCAUGAGGGCUCUGGUACCAGGACAGCAAAGACCAGACAGAUGAAUCAGGCUGGUCUGGAAAGUUCUCUCAUGAAGAAUUCAUUCCUUUUUCUCUGCACCUUCCAGUGAGUAGCAUGAGAUUUGAAGAGGCAUGUAAGGAAUGUAGGCUCAGGGCCAGCCAGGGCAGAACUUUUCUCUCCUCUCACAGCCAUGUUGCAUGGGGAGCAUCCUCUUUUCCCCAAAGCAGUCCCUGGACACCACUCACGUCUACUGACUCUGAGAAGUCCACAGCAUCCCACCAUGGAAGAAAGGGUUCAGUGUGGCUCAGUGCAGAGAUUCUUUUCCCAUGGUUGGGAGAUUAUCCUGAGUCUAUGAGCUACUUUUUAUCACCACCCCUGUUUGUUUUGAAGUUACAGAGUUCUUUAUAGGAUUCUGGAGGAGUCCCAUUUCAUUCUUCAAGAAAGUCUUGGACUAAAAGAUCUCUCUAUAGUAGAGAUCCAGCAAGUAACGUGGAAGCUGCCCAGGCUGGACUGUCCGUAGGAAAGCAAAUGUUCAUGCAGACCCAUGCCGUGCCACUGAACCAUUACAAAUCCACACAGGUUUCUCUGCAGUUUUGGAGACUGUGCUGGAACUCCGUCUGUAGACCAGACUGGCUUCGAAAUCACAGAGAUCUGCCUGCCUCUGCCUCCUGAGUGCUGGGAUUAAAGGCGUGUGCCACCAAUGCCCAGCUUAAUGAUGGUUCUUAACUGACAUCAAUGAACUUCUGUUAUACUGUGUGCUACUAAACUACCUCACACUUGGAACAUAUCCUUUUGCUGUCAAUGCUUUUGACACAUUGUACAUUGGUCAAUCUUUCACUGAAUUAUAAAGGCUGUUGAUGAUUACACUUUUUAUUAUACAACAUCAAAAAUAUGUUUGUUUAUAGGCUAGUCAAGUUAAUCAGCAAGGUCUUUUACAUAUUGGGAAACUCAUAGGUUCAUAAUGAGAACAUAGAUUUUUUUUUUUCCAAGACAUUGUUUCUAGGCUAAAAAGCUUGAAUCUUAGGCUGGUCUUUAGUUCAACAACAGAGCACUUACAUAGCACUUAUGAGGCUGGGAUUUCAUCCCCAGCAUUGUAAAAAGACAGAAAAAUUCAUUUUAUCAUUGCAACAAACAUUAUCAUUUGUUUUCUCUGAAUGCCCUGUUCAACACAGCUUGGUCCUGAAAAACUGACAAGGGACGAAGAGAAAAUAAAGAAAGGACAGGCACAUGUUCACAGAAAAACUGGGUGAGGUGUUUACUGAAGUGGUACCCACUAGCACAGCACAAUGGGGAGGAGUUAGCCAGUCUCAGUAGGAGGUCCCUGUGGGUGAGCAGUCUCCAGCUGUAUACACCAAGGAUGAAGAAGAAGUUGGAGUAUUUCAGCAAAAAGAUCAACCAUUAGCAAACACUGUAGUUGUUUGCUUUUGUCAUUCAGAAACUUUCCCUAUUUCCUAUGGGCCUAAGGCAUUGGUUCUUGUCCUGACUGUAGCCUUGUCCACAACACACAUUUGCUCUGGAUUUAAUCUGCUCUUUGCACAUUUACUCAGAGCUUCCUGAGCACCCUAUUCUAUACUUGAAGUGACAGACUGAUUUUGUUCUGGUUUUGUAAGAUCCCUGUUAAAUAUUGCAAUUGGGAUAACUAUAGACUUGUCAAACAAAAAUGGGCAACGAACAGCAAGCAAAUAAGCAGCUCUCUUCCACGGCCUCUGCCUCAGCUCCGGUCUCCAGCCUCCAGCCUCAAGCACUGUUUGAGUUCCUGCCUUGACUUCCCUCCUGAGGACUGUGAUUUAGCAUAUGUAAGCUACAUAAACCCUUUCAUCCCCAAGUUGCUUUUAGCCAUGGUGUUUCAUUAAACCCCAAACUAUAUCAAAGCAUAAAACCCCCUGCAUUAGUUUUCUUAGUGUGCCAGAUUUAUUCACAGUUAAUUUGCAUCACAGAAUAAGAAAUGCAAAUAAUAUCACAAUAUUAAAUUUGACCUUGAAAACCCUCCUAAUGGGUCCCAGAAAUCUCCAAGGAUCUGCACAUCACAGUUUGAAACCCAGGACUCUGGAAAAAUCUGGAGACUUGCUGCCUAGACAAAUAGAUACUUGACAUGUGGCUUUGACCUCAGAGUCUCCUACCUGUGGAGAGGCCACUGUUUCCUGGGUCACAGCCUUUUCCUAGACCUGAAAGUCUUGCUGAUCUUGUGGGAAGAUGAUGCAUAUAAAAAUACCCCCAGGAAAAGAUCUUCUUCAGGGCAGCACCUAAAUUUUCAGAUGGUGUAGAUGUCAGAGAGUCACCGGAUCUUCAUAGGAAACCUAUAACACUCAGCAAUAACUGGUAACUGGAAGUUUAUUGGAAACAAUUCCUUAGACAUUUUAACAGACAUUAAAGUGCAUACUUUAAUGAAAACAUGCCAUUUCAUUGCCUAGAGAAUCCAUGAGGAUAAACACUUCUCAGGGUCAAAGCAGAGCAAGGCGUCCGCUCAAUGACUAAAUAGUGGUUGACUAGUUGAUUAAUACCAAAGUAUUUUAAAUUCCUCACGACUUAACACAGAGAUAAACCGGACUUGUUUAGACUUCUUCAGUCUUCAAUUUUGAGGCAUGCCUCACACACAUUUGGAGAUGUAAGGAGCCUCCCCCUACCCUCCCUGACUUCAGUACUUAUCAACCCGGAAGUCACACACAGCUAAGGAGCAGCAGAAAUGGUGUCUAAGGUUUGUCUGAUAGAUCAGGGAGGAGUUCUAGAAGCUUUACACAUACAAACUUUGUUUCUCUAAUCAGAAGAGUCAUAGUCAUUUCAUUUUUGAGAUGUUUCUGUGUAAAUUCAGAAAACCAGUGCACAGACAGCUCUUCCAUCUGUCAUCUCUGCUUCCUUUACCCAGCUUGACCAAGGUAGUGACUAGUGGAGUCACCCUUGUCGUUCUCUUCUAUAACUUACUGCUUGUUACUCAGCAUUAGAGUGUCUUGAUAGCCAGUCUUCCUUUCCUCCUAAGGCAGAACUUGCCUCAUGCUCCCUUUUGAUCCCAUGUCCCCAUAACUACCAUGAGUCUUUUGGCUGCAACACUGACUUCUGUCCUUUUGUAGCUUUUAUGGAGUCCUUAUUCUUGCUCUGUCCUGUCUGCACUAGCUGCUAGGACACCCUUCUGUAGUAAGCUCGUGUUUCUCUUACACUGGCUGGGCUUGCUUCUGUGUUCCUUCUCUAUUCAUAUACCCUAAUGUUCCCAUCGACAUUCUUCUCUUGUCCAACCUUAUUCUCACUGAAAACCAGCUUCUCAUUAAGCCUCUUCUUGUGACUUCUCAGUCUUCCUGUUUUUCUAAGUUCCUCCAACACAGUGAACCGUGCCACUCAAUUUAGCAACUGACUCAAUACAGUUGUGAAUCGUUUCAGGCGGGUCCAUCUGUAUGAUUCAUGUCUUCCACUGUAAGAUAAGCCUUCUAAAGACAGAAUGCUUAUUUUUGGCUUCCCUGUAUUUUGUGACUAGAGAAAAGUUUAGGAGAGAAUAUAUGAUUCAAGUAGGAUCUGUUGACAUGGCUGUGAAGCGCAAUGGCCUUUGCAGCCAGACCAGUCCCUCAUAGAGUUGUGAUGAUUAUAUCAGUUACUGUAUGAAACCCUCCAAGCAAUACAAGCACGUAGUAAGCCUCCUGCUAUCUAUCUACUCACAGUGCAGGUAAAACCUUGGAGUCUCAGUUUUCUUGCCUGCAAAAUGGAGGGGUUAAUGCUUGACAGAGUGGCUAUAAAGAUUAAAUGUAAAAAAAAAAAUAUGUAAAGCCUCUUUCUUACAUACUGUUUAACAAUGACUAGAUCCAAUAGGUUGUAACAAUGUUUCUUAUUAAUGAACUCUGGGGAAAAAAGAGGCAAGAUUCAGUUCUGUAAACCACUUGUGCUCACCAAAAGAAGCUGUGAGCCUAGGGAGAGAGGAAGAACAGACUUAGCAUCUUCCCAGCUUACAUGGUGUAGUGUUGAGCUAUCUGGGGGAGAUUUACUUUAUGAGAAGAAAAAAGCCUGUUUAGAUGGAAGCAGUGUAUAUGUAGGGGCCUAUAAAAAUGGCUCUGCUUCAUCUUGACUUAAGGUCAGAAAGUUCAAACCCAAUAUUACUCUUUCGAGGUUAAACAACAAAAAUGUUUGGCCCGACGUGUGGCUAAACUAAUGUGUGUCUUACCUUCACAAAUGGAUAUUUGGCCUAAGAAGUAACUAAUGGAUGUCUUACUUUAACAACAGGAUAUUUAGUUUAACAUGUGGCUAUUGUGUGUCUUGCCUUGACAACAGGAUAUUUGGCUUAGGGUGUUUUGGGUAUUGAGAAGGUAAUUAUGCUUGCUUGUUCUUUGUAUCUUGGUGAGGCAGUCUUUUUGCCUUCCCCCACUUUUGAUUGGGCUAUAUAAGGACUGUGAGUAAUAAACUUGGAACUUUUUCCCCAGUAUUCAUUGGAGUGCCCUUCCAACUCUAUCCUGUGUCUCUGCCUUUUCUUUAGUAUCAAUAAUUUUUCUACCUGCUAUUUCUUAAUCCACAUGCUUUCCUCCAAGCACGAACUGGACGAAUAAGCCAGGCUGGACCCAGUUGUUGUUGUCUCCUGGACUCCGGAUAUUACACAUAUAAUGGUUCAACUCUAGAUCCAACAAAUACCCCAUUGUAGAGGUCACUGUCACUCACGAACAAUGGCUCAGGGAUGGGAAUCAGGCCUUUGUUCUUCUCAGUGUGAUUCUCUAAGUAAAAGCACACAGAAUGGACCUGCCAAUGUUGUGGCAACCUAGAUACAAAGAGUCUCAGAGACCUUCAGGUGACAUAUUACUAAUAGACUUCUAAUGCUUACCAACCACACUCUGGAAGCUUCACAGCUAAUCCCUCUAUGGGACAGCCACCAUUAUCUAGUAGUGUGGUCUCUGUCUGUUCCUCUAGAUCCAUCCUGUGCCCUUCUGUGCUCUACUUUGCAUCAUGGGUAGCUGGCUGUAAUGGACAACUGCAGCUCUCCUUCCUUAUACUAGAUUCCAGUAGGAUUAAACUAUGGUCAAGAGAUGGCUACUCGCAGGAAACACCAGCUUCCUAGAACAGGCAGAACAGCAUCAGGGCUGAGAGAUAGCAGUAGCAGUGUUCCCCCGACAGAAGACACAGAUGACUAUCACUGGCAUACCCACCCCUUCACAGACAAGUCCAUCAUUAUCCUCCAUUGUAGGAAUGCCCCAUGAGCCUAGGAGCAAUACUGGCUAUUUUAUAUCACCAGUUCUGGUGUAGGCUAUUGCUCAUUGGUUUCCCCUUCCCUGUCCACAGUAGUGACAGUUUCUUUAUGACAGACUCUUUAAUCUAAGGAUACAAGUGCAUUGUGCUGAGAUCUUGCCUGUUGUGAUUUUUACAGACAACAGCACUGGACCCUAGAAGAAUCACUCCAAGAAAGUGGAGUGGAGUUGGGUCUCAAACCAGACAUGCAAGCAUCCUGGGGGUGCUUAGCUUUGCUUCUUUCUGCCAAUGCAGAUUAUGGGGAUAACUCAGAUGGGAUCCAGAGAACUGCAGGAAUGUAACUAUAUGCUUUCACACCUGCCUGAUGACCUCCAUGGGUGGUUGUGGCCAAUGCUCAUUACUGUUGCCCAGGCUGAGUUUGGAUGUAGUAACUCUGCUAAUUUCUUCCUUCUGUGUAAAGAAAGUAUAAACCCAGGCCAGUAGGAUGCCUCAGAAGGAGGAGCUCAUGCUGUGCAAACCUGAUAACUUGAGUUCUAGUCAACUCCCACAGUGAAAGGAGAGAACCAACUCCUGAAAGUUGUCCUCCAAUCUACACACACACACACACACACA